rnacentral:tRNA from 1 species
GCGGGAGUAGCUCACUGGGUAGAGCGCGACCUUCCCAAGGUCGAGGUAGCGGGUUCGAAGCCCGUCUCCCGCUCCA